ACCUGGCUGGCUCAGCUGGUAGAGCAUGCAACUCUUGAUCUCAGGGUUGUGAGUUCAAGCCCCACGACGGGUG
rnacentral:tRNA from 1 species